UCUUGGUCAUUAGAGGAAGUAAAAGUCGUAACAAGGUUUCUGUAGGUGAACCUGCAGAAGGAUCAUUAGUGAAGAUUUGGGCAGGCCAUACGGACGCCAAAAAGUGUCCCUGGCCGCCUACACCCACUAUACAUCCACAAACCCGUGUGCACUGUCUUGGAGAAAGGCUUCAGAGAAGUUUUUUGUGGCCUCUCUUGGGGUCUUUCUUCGCUACAAACUCGAAUGGUUAGUAUGAACGUGGAACUUGGUUGGACCGUCACUGGCCAACAAACUAUACACAACUUUCGACAACGGAUCUCUUGGUUCUCCCAUCGAUGAAGAACGCAGCGAAACGCGAUAGGUAAUGUGAAUUGCAGAAUUCCGUGAAUCAUCGAAUCUUUGAACGCACCUUGCGCUCUAUGGCAAUCCGUAGAGCAUGCCUGUUUGAGUGCCAUGAAAUCUCCCACCCCAAGCGGUUUUUAAAUGAAACGGCUUGGCGGAUGGGGUCUGGAUGGGUGCCUCUGCCUGCGCUACCUAGCACAGGCUCGCCCGAAAUGCAUGAGCGCCUUGAGACACUUUGCAUCCGCCUCUCUGUUUGGGAGGAGGCGGCCAAGCAGUGUUUUUCUCCUGGCAUGGCAUGAUACGUCAUUUGCUAUGUCGCCUAAAGGAGGAAUGUUUGGUUGUGUCUGCGUGUGCUUCGAACUUGCCUCUGUGGCACAUCCCAAUUUCACUUCUGGUCUCAAAUCAGGUAGGAUCACCCGCUGAACUUAAGCAUAUCAAUA
rnacentral:rRNA from 1 species